rnacentral:siRNA from 1 species
AGAUGAUGGGCCUUAUAAUGGGCA